GAGGUGGAAGGAUCGUUUGAGCUCAGGAGGUUGAAGCUGUGGUAAGCUGUGAUCGUGCCACUGCACUCCAGCCUGAGUGACAGAG
rnacentral:miRNA from 1 species